rnacentral:rRNA from 1 species
CUCGUAGGUGGCCAACUAAGUCAUACGUGAAAUCCCUCGGCUUAACCGGGGAACUGCGUCUGAUACUGGAUGGCUUGAGGUUGGGAGAGGGAUGCGGAAUUCCAGGUGUAGCGGUGAAAUGCGUAGAUAUCUGGAGGAACACCGGUGGCGAAGGCGGCAUCCUGGACCAAUUCUGACACUGAGGAGCGAAAGCCAGGGGAGCAAACA